GAUGAACGCUGGCGGCGUGCCUAAUACAUGCAAGUCGAGCGGACAGACGAGGAGCUUGCUCCUCUGACGUUAGCGGCGGACGGGUGAGUAACACGUGGAUAACCUACCUAUAAGACUGGGAUAACUUCGGGAAACCGGAGCUAAUACCGGAUAAUAUAUUGAACCGCAUGGUUCAAUAGUGAAAGACGGUUUUGCUGUCACUUAUAGAUGGAUCCGCGCCGCAUUAGCUAGUUGGUAAGGUAACGGCUUACCAAGGCAACGAUGCGUAGCCGACCUGAGAGGGUGAUCGGCCACACUGGAACUGAGAGACGGUCCAGACUCCUACGGGAGGCAGCAGUAGGGAAUCUUCCGCAAUGGGCGAAAGCCUGACGGAGCAACGCCGCGUGAGUGAUGAAGGUCUUCGGAUCGUAAAACUCUGUUAGUAGGGAAGAACAAAUGUGUAAGUAACUAUGCACGUCUUGACGGUACCUAAUCAGAAAGCCACGGCUAACUACGUG
rnacentral:rRNA from 1 species